CUAUGGUUCAGAUUCCUGCCGGGGGUGCAACUGAGCAGGACAGUGUUUGUCCUGCCUGUGAAUGGCUGUGACCUUGAUCCUCAGUCCUUUGAAAUGAAAUCUCUAUUGGUUCCAUGAGCCAUGUAAAAAUUGGAAAACUUUUUUGUAGUUUCCCAGAGCCUCAGUUUUCUGUAUCCCUAACUACAGCCUUAAAAACAAAAACAAAGCAACCAACCAAACAAACAAACAAACCAAAACCAAAACCAAACCAACUCCAGGUUGUAGUGAUAGAUCUCUAUGAUAUGAAAGAAAAGAUGCUUUGUAAGCCAAUAAUAUGCAGGUGUCAGUCGUCACAACGACCUACAAGAAGAAGGUAUGGGAAGCGGUGAGCCGACACUGAAGGUGGAUUUUCUAAAGGAGAAAUGAAGAGACUGAAUGCAUUGCAGCCCAGGUCUCUCUCAGCUGGAACAGGACAUUGUUUACGAAGCUGCUGGCACAAAUGCGAUUUAUCCGGAUAGUGGGAAGUGUGUGUUUUGGCCAUGUAGCCUUGGAAGGAUCUCUUUGGAGGCUUACCAAGGACGUCCAGCUGCACCGUGAAAGUGGCUUCCCCAGCUCUGUUCCUGGCCACACAUGCAUAUGGCCCUGCGUCUGAUGUUCUGACCACUUCGAAGAUGACUUCCCAGGUUCAUGACCUUGCCACAUCUGCAGGCUUCAGGCAAGCUCAGCUGUUGAAGCUAGGAGGAUUCAGUGUUGUAUGCCAUUUUCAAUGGUAACAAGAAAAGCCAAACCUUCCUGGGAUGGUCAAGAACCCUGCAGCUCACUCACCAAAGGAUGGCCCGUCCUAGCACAAGGGCAGGGGCUUAUGCAACGUGAUCACAAGUGCUGACAGCACCCAGGGAUCUGCUACCUGCAGGAAUGUGUGACUCAGCAUCUGGGAGCAGGCUCUCAGCCGGCUGUGCCAGCUCAAGGAGACCUUCAGGCCACCCUGCCCAACGCUUCCUUCAAGCUUUGGCUCUUUUGGCAACACUAGUCUAGGUCUCCAAAUGACACUGCUUCUCUUGUCACAGUCGCCUGAGUGGUGAGCUUAUAGGCUUGAGCCACUACACUUCUGUAAAUCUCUAGAAACAAAUAGAUAAGACCCUGAAGCCAGGGAAUAAAAGCUUUUUGCCAUGGUGUGUGUUUACUGGAAAAACUGUAAGACAUUCCUGAGUGCCUUGAAUACUGGGCAUUUACAAGCAAAACCUCAUGGACCAUCUGACUACACAUGUCUUGUGUUCCCCCUUCCAUCCUCACCUUAAAGUGAUGGAUGGUGACACCGUUUCCUUAUCAACAGAAGUAACAGAUGAAUGUUGCCUUGCGUAUAACCGAGCUCCACCUGUACACACAAGAAACUUGUUUUGUGCCUAUUAAAUCUAUUUCAGCA